rnacentral:rRNA from 1 species
UACGUAGGUGGCAAGCGUUGUCCGGAUUUACUGGGCGUAAAGGGAGCGUAGGUGGACUUUUAAGUGAGAUGUGAAAUACUCGGGCUCAACCCGAGAACUGCAUUUCAAACUGGAAGUCUAGAGUGCAGGAGAGGAAAGUGGAAUUCCUAGUGUAGCGGUGAAAUGCGUAGAUAUUAGGAAGAACACCAGUGGCGAAGGCGACUUUCUGGACUGUAACUGACACUGAGGCUCGAAAGCGUGGGGAGCAAACAGG